UUAAAAGAAAAAGAAAAAAAAAGAAAAAUAAAAAGAAAACAGAAAGUCGUGACACGGAUUUCUUUUUUUCUUUCGUGAUUGAAUGAAAUCUGAAAAUCGACCUGAAGGAAAACUUCUGCGCAUUCUUCCGCGCACACUCUAUCGGUGACUAAUUAAAUUUCGUCACGAUUCCCCUCCAUCUUUUUCUUUCGUUUCUGCUUUCUUCGAUAGCUUUAUGGAUAAAUCUUUCGAUUAUUUUUUCAGUGUUCUUUUUUUAUUCGUUGUGUUUCCAAAAAAUAUUUGAUUAACAGAAAAAGUUAUCUUUCAAUUUUGUUAAAUAAUUAACCUUUAAAGUGUAAAUAUCUUCAUGGUUGAAGAGGUUAUAGGAUGAGUACUCUCUCGAUUUUGAUUCUCAACAUAUUGAAGGUAUUUUCUAUAAAAUGAGAUUAUAAAUUGAGAAUAUUGUAUAAAAUAUUAUUAAAAUAUGAAAGAUAAAGAAGAUUUUCUAACCUCUCCCUUUUUGGAAAAAAUGAAAAAAAAUAUCUAUCAAAAUAUUGAUCUGAUUCCGGGUAAUUAAAGCAAACAUUUGGAAAUGGAAUAGGUAAUCGGCGAAAAACGGAACCGAUAAUCGAGACAGUGGUGUGACGCCUCAUUUCCCAGUGAAAUUUAAUAGAGUUUCUUCGUGCAUUGUGCGUUUGCCGGGUGCGAUCAUUGAAAAUUGCCGAUAUUCCACGACGAGGGUGGAAUACGGAACGAUCCAGUUGAAUGACAACGAGAUAACCGAAUCAACGACGGUAUCUCCGUUAUUAGGAGGCCGACGAUUCUCUCGAAUAAUGGCCCCGCCUCUGCUACGUGCCUGUACAUACUGGAUGCGUUUUCGUGGAAAAUGCGAACGUCGUAUGAAUCGAGCAGAAUUUUUUUACAAUUUCUAAUUUUUCAUCCUUUUCUUUUCGAAUUUUUCAUUAAUAUUUUAUUACUUUGUUAAAAAAUAAUAAUAAGAU